CCUGGCCCCGAUUUCUCGAAACAAACAAAGUGUUUACUCAAAUCUCAAACUGAGUUUUUAACUCAACUGCAUUUCUCGAAUCAAACUCAGGAACAACUCAGGACUUAAGUUUGAUCUCAGUUGGGGUUUUUUAUGCGAUGUAAGCGGCCUUGGCGCGAGAUCUGACUUCCGUUUUCAAUGUAAACACUAUGGCGUCUGCACAAGAGGUGUGGCAUGGGCGCAAAGAACAAGGAGCAGUCGUCGGGAGCAGAUUACCGAGGUCCUAAAUGCCAUCGUACGUAGGAUUCCUGCCUGGACUCGUUCUAUGGGGAAGAAUAAAACCCCACAUAACUUAGAGUGUUUUCUGACGAGAUUUUGAAGUGAGAGUUUCUGCAAACAAACUGUUUGUGUGCCACAGGACAGAGCCAGUGUUGUAGACAUGAGUUAAAAUAUAUGUAUGUACUUUGUGUAAUAAAAUACUUGUGGCUCA